UUGUCUCCACGUGCUGCUACUGAAGUGAAUUGUGCGUACACAGCACAAUGUGUCCUAAGAAAAAACCCAUAAGGGUCACUUGAAGCCUGUACAUCGUCGCUUUUUACCGUCCAAUUUCAUUUUGCGAAACGUAAAAUGAAGCUAGCCAUCUAUGCUGAUAUGCCGUUGAUCUCUCUGCUUAUUGUUAUGUGUUUGACUUCAAGCGUUUUAGAGGCAUGCAAACUCAGGAAAUGCCAUACAACUGGCUAUGGAUGCGUUCCGUUCAACCAGUGCCCUCCACAGUAUUGGGCGCCUCGCUAUGGCUGCGGGUGUGGCUCUGUUUGCUGCAACCUAGCACGAAUGAACGCCUGCUCUUUGGCUGGAGGAACUUGUGCAGUGCAGUGCCAAACUCGAAUAAGAAAGGUCAGAUGUCCUGGAUUUAAGAAGUGCUGUGCCACGGUGGCGCGCUAAGAAGCCAUCGUUACAGUAUGCUAACACACCAGAUGUAACGUUGUCGUUGAGCGUAGAAACAGCAUGCGCAUUCUUGAUACCCUUCUGCUAAUGUGUGAAAUGAAGCAUUAAAGGAGCACAAUGAAGAGGAAUAACUUUCAACACAAGCAUAAACAUGUUGUGAAUUUUUUUGUGCCAGUGCGUUCAAGAGGGCAUCAUUUUGAUAUUCGCACUCAGUCUAUAAAAAACUUUUUUGUGUGUCUUAUCGGUUAGAAUUCUACUUUAAGCAGUCACUGCAACUGGUCAAGUGCAAAUAAAAGUUUCAUUUAUUACUAACAUACCAGAGCACAUUAAGUACAUAACGUUCAACAGAAUUUUCUUGCCACAUGCAUCGUUCAAUUCAGGGGAAAUAUUUCACGGAGCUUGUUUCGAUUGAGAACCAUUAUACAAGAGGACUCCAGAAAUCAAGGAUUUCGUGGAAAACCGGUCCGAAUCCUCGAAGUUGUGGAGGGGAAUGAGCACGGGCCGGAUAAGAAGGUGUGCUUUAUGUGUGGGAAGCGCUGUAGAGUGCGACGGGCGUCAUGGUGCCCUCUGCCAGCUUCGAGAGAGUUUGCCUACGUGCUAGGCAUCAGCCUUGCUCAUACAGCCAAACGUACGAACUUCCCGCAGGUCUGUCCAGUUUGACCUCCCAGGAAUAAGGCUACCAUGGCAAAGGGUGGCUACUUGGGUUAGCCGUUCGACUGCCUGUUCACAUAAACAUGUCACUCACAGCCCAACCGAGGGCGGUAAGACGAAAGGUCUGUUGAAUCCUCCUGCGGGGUCCUAGGUCUGCUACUCCAAAUGGGUGCUCCGCCUGAUGAAUCUUCGACGACUUUCCUGCUGCUGCUGAAAUCACUACCAUUUGUGUCAACGGCCCCACCACAGCUGCAGCGGCUGGAACUCGUGCAUCGGGGCGCAAUCCGGAUGCGCUUAGAUCUUCACCGGUCCUCUCAGGUGGCAGCAGCCCUAGGCAAGGCUGGUGAAUUGUCCAUACCAUUGCAAUUAACUUCUUUCACCCAUCUAGCAUUCAACAAUUCAUCAUCAUCCAAUCUACUCCUCCCUUCUUGAACGAGACAGCAUGAUAACCAGCGGACCUUGAAGUCCGCCACAUGGCGCCCAAGAACCUGAGACCUACAAGACAAUGUGAACCCCAUUGGCGCAUGGUAUCGCACUGUGAACCUGCGCUUUAGCGAAGAGUUGCCGGCUGCCAGCUGACUCAUGAAUCCUAGAGACCGUCGGCACCAGAGCUUGCGCUCGCAACUGGAUGGCAUGUUAAAAGAAGCAGAAGGCACACUACGAGGACAGCUGUCUGCAUCUUAGGUAAGCACCCUGCGUGACCGGGUCGAUAGGCUGCACCUGCAGAUCAAGGAAAUCGACGGCAGCAUUUUAGGCGAGCCACCUGACAAGGUGAUCGAGAGUGAGAUCUCAGACGCUAGCAAAUAUGGAGACGAGGUUUUCACACUAACAUCGAAGCUGCAGUUCGAGCUUCAAAACAGCCAUACGUCUCAAGCUACGCGCCCGACUACCAGCCGAACUGUGAUGAGCACCAAGUCUAGCUGCCGCAGCUAUAACUUAGGAAGUUAGGUGAAAAUCGAAAACAAUGGCAGCGUUUUGCACGCAGUUUUCGCCAGUCACACAUAAUAAUGACGAGCUCAGCACUGCUGACACGUUUAACAACGUGAGCACUCUCAUUGCUGUAGCAGCCACUUCAGCCAUAUCUGAAUUCCAAGCCACUUGAAGAUGCCAGGGCGAAUUCUCGUGUGGAAUUAUAACGUUGUCGAGCCCUUUCGGCACGAUAACGACAUCACUCUGCCAAUGCUUAGCUGAGGAUCCGGUUUAGCGGCAUAUUUAUUAUUCCGUUGUACACCACCGCGAUUUACGACGAGCCACUGCUAAAUAUAAGCAAGGCGAGGUGGACCAUUCGCAGACGCUGGUGCACCCCUCUUAAUGCGGUUGCGUACUUUCACCAAGCGAGCUCGGCCCGAACGAAACCCUCUCCACUUCCGCCUGCUCCUCGGCUUUUGUCAACAAAUUACAUAAGAAAAACUUGCCAAAGUAUGCAACUCUAUUCGCCUGCGCACCAACCAAAAGUGACUUCCUUUAAACAAGGAAAGCGUUUGAUCGGUCUGCUCAAACAACGAUGCGGAUCACAGCCCAAUGCUUGCGUCGGUUAUUACGCAAAUUUGACGUCAGGACAUUAGAAUGAAACACAUUGAAAACGUCUCACAUGUUGACCAGAGUUCCAUUCGGGGUCAGUUGUAGCCGCAUUCUCUUGAAGCAUAAUUUUGGACGCACUUAGGACCGCUACCCAAUGAACUUGGUUGCAACGAGACCUUAUGUAUAUGGGCGAUCUUCUGAUCAGAGAUCACUCACGAGAAGACGCGAUUUAGAUGCAUGAAAAAAUUAUCGACGUACUUAUAGAUACGCCUAUGAGCGAACAUAAGGGAGUGGAAAAGCAGUAACCAAGCCCUGACUGUCAAGUUUCAAGGGGAUCACAUCAAAGGAAUGAAUGCUUUGUAAAUCCGCAGAAACACUCAAAUUUCCUGGAUUGUCCUGAUUCACUGACACGAACCUUUUUACGCAUCCAUCGAGCACUAUGGGCUUCAAUGCGAAGCGCAGCAUAAAGUGACCAAGCGUUGCACUCCUAAAGCUAUGGCACGAGUUUAAGUCACAUUUGGUUGCCUGUCUCCUUUUCUUGUGUUAGCGAAUAUUUUUGAAAUACCCAUUCCUUGGGAAUGUGAAUCUCACGUGCGACGAAGCAUUGCCCUCCCAUUUACCUCCCCUUUAACGGGAGCGAGGAAGCAGCCGCUUUCCAAGCCUUCAGCAUUCCAACAUUUUUGGGUGGUGCAGUUGCAAGUCGAAUCUGUAAGACGAAUCGGCACAUAUUUGCCAACACAAGCCAUCAGCCUGGGAAUCAUCCUACGAAGCUGUAGCCUAUGUAUUCAUGUAUAAUUUUUUGCGAAACGUUCCGAGUACUCUUCUCUUUGCAAAGGGAGGAGUGGUGUCAAUCAAUAGAGUAGCGUCGGCUCAGCUUGAGCUAAUGUAUGCAUCGCCUGUACCACUACCUUUCAAGCAACUCCAACAGUCUGGUCAAUGAAGUUACAUUUUGGUCCGACUCGCAGAUUAUUAUCUUCUUGAUUCAAGAAGAACCAGAGGCAUGGAAUACAUUCAUCAGGAACCGUGUGGCAGAAAUACGCAAGUUAACGGAUCCUUCCUUUUGAGGCUUUUGCCCAGGAAAAGAAAAUGGAGUGGACUUGCUUACGAGAGCACUAUCUGCAGGCAGAUUGCAGCAGGCAAAGCUCUGGUGGAAUGGACCGGAAUGGAUAAUGAAUCGCUUAAUGUAGCCACCCGCCUUUAGUUAAGAGGCACAACUGGAAGUGCCUGUACAAGUGCCCACAACUUAUAACCACUCUGUCAGCACGAAGCCAUCCAUGGAAAGAAUAAUCGACCUUGAAUAAUUCACUUCUCGCAUUAAGCGCCUACGAGUCACAGCGUGGUAAUUACGAUACACGAUGAAGCUGAAACGUGAGUAGGAAUUUUCUGUCGACUUUUGCACCGAAGAUGUUCAAGAGGGCAAACGUUGCCUGAUACGCGUCAAGCACAAAGUACACUUCAGGGACUGGUUGAUGUGCAUUUCGCAAGUGAAACAUAUCGCUUUGCGGAGUCAACCUAAACUCCUAGGACUAUCCUUGGACGACGACACGUUGAUCUGAUCCACAGUUCCUGCUCACAGCAAGUUAGAAAGCUCCUGAACUAGCAACCAUAUAGUUCUUCUGCGGAAGGGCUCUCGCAUUGCAGUGCUCGCGAUCAUUGAAAACGGAAGUAAAGACGUCACUGAUGACAUCACACACAAGAAUGUGGCACGAUAUUCAACCGACUAAUUAGUUGGAAAACAGCUGCCUGGCGCUCACUGAACAUCUGCCUAGCACAGUGGCUGUGAUGUCACUCCCUCCACUCGCUUCUCCUCUCCCGGCACUCAUGUGCUCUCUCACUUGCUCGCAAUAGCUGCGCACGCGCACUCGUUAUAUGCUCUGACCUUAGCACCAGAGAGAACACGUAAGGUGCGCUUCGUGCACCCCUAGCGAGGCGUCUACGCCCCGCUCAGUGGAGCACGCUGCGCUUCCUCCUCGCCCUCCAAAAAAAAGAAACCUGCCCCUUUCAACGCACAUAUAACUCAAGCAAUAGAUUACAUAAAGACAUUGAUUGCUUCAUUUCUAAAAGUCACAGGACCAACGUUGUAUUCGUUAGGUCAAAAGUAAAUAACUGCAAA